rnacentral:rRNA from 1 species
UACGUAGGGGGCAAGUGUUGUCCGGAUUUAUUGGGCGUAAAGCGCUCGCAGGUGGUUCGUCGCGUCGUGCGUGAAAGACCCCGGCUCAACUGGGGAGGGUCGUGCGAUACGGGCGAACUGGAGGCCAGUAGGGGGAUGCGGAAUUCCGGGUGUAGUGGUGGAAUGCGUAGAGAUCCGGAGGAACACCAGCGGCGAAGGCGGCAUCCUGGACUGGUCCUGACGCUGAGGCGCGAAGGCGUGGGGAGCGAACGGG